rnacentral:rRNA from 1 species
GAUGAACGCUGGCGGCGUGCCUAAUACAUGCAAGUCGAGCGAACGGACGAGAAGCUUGCUUCUCUGAUGUUAGCGGCGGACGGGUGAGUAACACGUGGAUAACCUACCUAUAAGACUGGGAUAACUUCGGGAAACCGUAGCUAAUACCGGAUAAUAUUUUGAACCGCAUGGUUCAAAAGUGAAAGACGGUCUUGCUGUCACUUAUAGAUGGAUCCGCGCUGCAUUAGCUAGUUGGUAAGGUAACGGCUUACCAAGGCAACGAUGCAUAGCCGACCUGAGAGGGUGAUCGGCCACACUGGAACUGAGACACGUUCCAGACUCCUACGGGAGGCAGCAGUAGGGAAUCUUCCGCAAUGGGCGAAAGCCUUACGGAGCACCGCCGCGUGAGUGAUGAAGUUCUUCGGAUCGUAAAACUCUGUUAUUAGGGAAGAACAUAUGUGUAAGUAACUGUGCACAUCUUGACGGUACCUAAUCAGAAAGCCACGGCUAACUACGUG